AUGCAAAGCUUGGUAUCAUUCCGCUAAUUUAAAGCCGGAUCCCCUUACACUACGCUCUAGCUCCUCCCACUGCAGCUUUUGGUGCUGGGGACGUGGCAAAAGUCUGCGGAAGAAAAGGGCAAGGCACCUCCUUGAGGCAAAGAAAUAAGAAAACUGCCACUAUUCCAAGCAAAACAGGUCCAACUUCAGUGGCAGAUCUGGUGGCCUUGGAGUGGCUGAAGACCACCACCCUCCACAGGGCUGCGCUCAUGCACAGAGCCAUCCUUCCUUUCUCUGAGUGAGCUUCCUCUGCACAUUGUUUAUAUCAUUGGCAGAGCUUGUAGUUGGAAAGGGGGCUGAGUGACAAAUGGACUUUGUAUGAAAACACCAGCCUGAGACAGACCUUCAGUCAAGUCUGAAACGGGGUUGGGGGUAUAGAACUUGGCCUUGUCUUUAACUUGGAUCAUGACUGGCUCUGAGGCUAAGGCAGGGGCAGAGGAGGGUCUGAGGUUUGCCUGAAAGCUGGAAUCAGUGGCCCUGCCAACCCUAGAGCCAAGGCUAAUAUCCAGGCCAAGGCAGUGGCUGAGGCAGAACUGAAAACAGGACCAGUGACCAGGGCCAAGCCUGGGGAUGGAGCAGUGGCCAGGACACAGACAGUGA
rnacentral:lncRNA from 1 species